rnacentral:rRNA from 1 species
UAGGGAAUCUUCGGCAAUGGACGAAAGUCUGACCGAGCAACGCCGCGUGAGUGAAGAAGGUUUUCGGAUCGUAAAACUCUGUUGUUAGAGAAGAACAAGGACGUUAGUAACUGAACGUCCCCUGACGGUAUCUAACCAGAAAGCCACGGCUAACUACGUGCCAGCAGCCGCGGUAAUACGUAGGUGGCAAGCGUUGUCCGGAUUUAUUGGGCGUAAAGCGAGCGCAGGCGGUUUCUUAAGUCUGAUGUGAAAGCCCCCGGCUCAACCGGGGAGGGUCAUUGGAAACUGGGAGACUUGAGUGCAGAAGAGGAGAGUGGAAUUCCAUGUGUAGCGGUGAAAUGCGUAGAUAUAUGGAGGAACACCAGUGGCGAAGGCAGCUCUCUGGUCUGUAACUGACGCUGAGGCUCGAAAGCGUGGGGAGCAAACAGG